rnacentral:rRNA from 1 species
UACGUAGGGUGCGAGCGUUAAUCGGAAUUACUGGGCGUAAAGCGUGCGCAGGCGGUUCGUUGUGUCGGCGGUGAAAGCCCCGGGCUCAACCUGGGAAUGGCCGUUGAAACUGGGGAACUGGAGUGUGGCAGAGGGGGGUGGAAUUCCGCGUGUAGCAGUGAAAUGCGUAGAGAUGCGGAGGAACACCGAUGGCGAAGGCAGCCCCCUGGGCUGACACUGACGCUCAGGCACGAAAGCGUGGGGAGCAAACAGG